AUAAAUAAACGUUAAAAAAAAUUAUAUUACAGAAACGCAACUGAAAACAACCUUUGCUGAACCAGAAACCUGGAAAGCUCCAGUGAAUCUAGAACUUAAAAAAAAAAAAAAAGAGCGAGACAAAAAAGAAAAAAUUAGGGGUUUGCCAUGCGUAUUCCAUAAGUAUUUACCCUGUUCAAAGAAGCAGAACUUGGAAUGUGAUUUGUUUUACAAAAAUUCUAUGUAGACAGCUCUUUCCGUACAGGUUCUAAGGCUCGUCUGCAGUCCUUAGCCUGCCCGUCGUCCGGGUCCCACCCACCCCGACUGUGUUCACACGCGCUGGGGAUGGGAUCCCCGCCACAAGGUGCCACACACCUGCCACAGAGAAAAGACACAGGCAGAGAAAAGAAGAACCUAAAACGCUGUGACAUUGGAUAUCGGUCCAGCCCAGCGAGACAAAGGCUGGACGAUUCUCCGGUCGGCACGUGGCAGUUCACCAGGCGCUCGGACAUUGUUGAAUAGUUGUGACACAGACUGCGCCCCGCGGAGCCUAGAGCAUUUAGCCUCUGGCCCUUUACAGAAAAGGUUUGUCGGCCCCCGUUCUGUCCACAUGUCAUUUGAUUCCCACCGACCUUCGGUCUGGCUCCCAGUGCCAGACGCUGAGGCAAGGUAAGGGGUUUAUUGUGGGACACCCUGCAGGGCAGUGGGGCAGCGGGACAGGGCAGGUGGGCUGCAAGCAAGCCCUCAGGGUCCCAGCCAUCACUGGCAGAGGCAUCUGGGGUGUCCGCUCCCAGCACUUCCCAGGUCAGGAGGACACCAUCAGGAGGCGUCUGGGGCUCGUGGUCAGAUCGCAGGUGGCAAGGACCGGCUGGCUGUGAGUGUUGACACGGGGUGUGGGCUGUGUUGACAGUCACAUUGUUUUCUUGUCUGUCCUUAUCUGUCCCCUGCUUGAGCAGAUACUCAUCACCAUGGACCUUCACGGGGGAGGGACGCUGAGGAAUGUCGGCUGAGGGCAUCAGGGGUUCUCAUCUCCCGGGGUCUCUCUACCAUCACGAUCACAGACGUCUGCCACGGAUUCUGCCUCUUCUGUUCAUUUCUGACAAGACACGGCAGGUUUGUUUGGGGUAGCAGACAAGGACGUUGAGGUCCGGAAAUGUGACCUAUCUCAAACCUUGUGGUUGCUCAGGGACCAAGACUCUCCAAGUCUUGCCAUAUCUCGACGUAAUCUGUCCUCUAACCCGUGGGAGGGCAGAAGGGUUCACCCACCAC